UUUACUUCGUCUGUUUUAGAAAUCCCCUAAAAUUUCCCUUUACUUCCAAACCCUGAUUUCAAAAAUCCCUUAUAAUUUCCCCCAAAGAGAUAUCCUCAAAUAGUUUUCCCUGAAGUCCCUUUGAUUUGCUCUGCUAUCAGUAGUUUUCCCAUAACAAUUUUUGAUUUUGCACCCUAAUUGCGUAUACGUCUUCCCCAACUUAAACCCAAUUUCAUUCCCCUAUUUACCCAAUUUCUUUUCUCUCAUUUUCCUUAACUGCGUCUGCGUCUGCGUCUGCCUCUUCUCUCCGCCGCUGCCGCUGGAAUUUCGUGUCCUAUAGGUAUUGUUACUACUUAUAUGGACACUUUAUUUAGUUUUAGUCUCUUUGAAAAUGGAUAAUGCGUGUCAUCUUUGUGUUUAUAUUGACUUUGUUAGGUUGUAUUUUAUUACUUUAUAAGCUUCGAAUUUAUAUUUUUUUUAUGAGUACAAUGUGUCUUACUUGGGUGUUUAGGAAAUGAUGAGAUCUUGAGAAAAGGGUUUUCCAGUUUGUUCACGUUAUGAGAUCUUAUGUUCAUGUUGUUCAUAUACAACAGCUACUGUUGUUGACCAUUUGUAAAAAAAGAAUCAUUUACCCGGUGAUGUAAGAGUAAUGAAUUUUUACUGAAGUGAAAUUGUAUUAAAAUUUAUGCAUAUAAUAGUAUAACUGAAAUAAUGCAGCAAUAUAAAAAUAUGAUCAAAAGCAAAGUAACUCGUAUAAUUAAAUCAGGGCAGGGCAAGAUUCAUAUGGAAGCACACAAACACAAAAGGCUGCAUUACUGAAGCGAUAUGGAGGACUGGGAUUCAUAUGAUUACCUAUUUCUUAAGCAGUGUGAAAUUAGGAAAGAACGUGCGACGCAUCUGCCAUUCAAUUAUCACUAAUAGCUUGGUCCACUGUAUCAAUAGCAAGGAACACAUAGAGUAAUGCCAUUCCAUUUUUCUUUACUUAUUUACAAAUUGAUAUAGAAUUCAACUUAUAGGUUAAUGAUAUAGGUUUAAUGCACUGCUUCAUUGGAUGGGAUUCAUCCACUUUGUUUAAUGCAUUUUUUUGCUAUUCAAUUUGCAAUUUUCAAUAUCAGAUGUACGUUUCAGAUGCUUUAAAGUUCACAGGCACUAUGAAAUAAGUCAUUUUUUGGGAGCACUUUUCUCCUUAAUUUUCUUUUUAAAGUGAAUAAUAUCAAGAACUUCUAGAUUCACAAUCAGUUUGUUUAAUGCAUUUUUCCAUUACACGUGUGAUGAUGAUACUGGAUAAUCUAUUUGGUUAAUGCAGAUUUGAUUACACAUAAAUUUCUGUGUAAUGAAAUUGAUGUUGCAAAUUAGCAGGUUUAUAGUUGUGAGGUUUUCUACUUAUGGAUUAACUUUUGAUAUCCAUUAGCCUUGUACUUUAUCAGAAUGUGUUAUAUUUCCUCAACAAUGUCUAAUUUGAGUUUAUAGAAGCAAUAAACCCAUGUUGUAAACGGUGGAUGUAGUAAACCCAUGUUAGUCUAAUUUCAAAGGGUUUUUGAAUUUCCAUUUUAGUCUAUAAAUUUUUAAGUUUAUUGCUGUACAUUUUUUAAUGUAAAAAUCAAAUUACUAUUCUUGUUUAUCCUUGGAUUAUUUUUUAAUUUCAUGGCUGUUCAUUGUUUACAGGUGUAAUUUAAUUUGCUGGAAUUGACUCUACCAUCUAAUUUACAAUUUCUAAG
rnacentral:lncRNA from 1 species